GGGCCUAUAGCUCAGGUGGUAGAGCGCGCGCCUGAUAAGCGCGAGGUCGAUAGUUCGACUCUAUCUAGGCCCACCA
rnacentral:tRNA from 1 species